GAAGAGAGGAGGAGAGGAGGAGGGCAGGAGGGGAAGAGGAGGAGGUGAGGAGGGGAAGAGGAGGAGGUGAGGAGGAGGGGAGGAGAGGAGGAGAGGAGGUGAGGAGGUGAGGAGGAGAGGAGGAGGGGAGGAGAGGAGGUGAGGAGGGGAGGAGGAGAGGAAGGUGAGGAGGAUGGUGGACAUGUGAGUACUGAGGCUCCCGGAUCUCAGAAUCCAUGAAAGGCGGAUUUGUAGCUGCUCCUCUUCCUCACACCUGCCAGUCACCAUGUCCUGCAGAUCUGCCUCCUAAGCACCUCUCAAUUCACCACUUUUCUCCACUAUAACUCUCUUUUUAAUAUUUAUGUAUUUAUUUAUUUAUUUUGAGACAGGGUCUCACUGUGUUUCCCAGGCUGGAGUGCAGUGGCGCCACCUUGGCUCACUGCAACCUCUGUUUCCCUGGUUCAAGCGAUUAUUCUGCCCCAGCCUCCCGAGUAGCUGAGAUUACAGGUGCGUGCCAACACGCCUGGCUAAUUUUUGUAUUUUUAGUAGCCAUGGGGCCUCGCCAUGUUGGCCAGGCUGGUCUCGAACUCCUGACCUCAUGAUCCACCCGCCUCGGCCUCCUGAAGUGCUGGGAUUACAGUGUGAGCCACCGCGCCCGGCCGCUUUUUUAGAACCCAGCCUUGGUUCUGACUUGGUAUCUCUUCUUCCAGCUGAACUUGAACAACUGCUGGAAUGAUGGAUCAAAAUCACUAGUCUCACCACUCAUCCCCCUGCUUGAAAUGCUUGGUUGGCUUCCUGAAGCCUUCAGAAUGAAGUCCAGGGCUCUCCAUCUGCCCUCUCCUCAUUCUCCUUUGCAAAAUGUUACUGAUCUUCCUACAGCUGGGGAGCUUCCAGCUGCCACAACAAGGCCACAUGCACUGCUGAGCAUAGAGGUUGCCAGACGGCUGUUCCUGCUCCUGCUCUUUUAGUCUCUCCUGCUGAGCCCUCAGAUGCUGGUGUGCCCAGGUUCUUUAUGGCUCUUCUCUCUUCCCCAGGAAUUUCACCCAGACCCAAGCUUUAAAUCUACAACAAUUCAGCACCUAAAUGGCUGUUUUCAGUCUAUUAAUCUGCCAUUCACUUCCUCUUUCAUUUAUUAAAUAAAUCACCAAAGAUUUAUGGGGUUUCUUGCAUACCAGGAAAGAAAGGGUAGGAAAAAAAGACCACAUAUAAAGUAUUGAAUAGUCUAAUGAAGAGAACAGAACAAUCACAUAAGCAACAACAGAAAGACACUAAAUGCCAUAAGCAAGUUACAUACAAGAUCUGUGGAAGUUGGGAGAAGGCAGAAAUUGUUUUAUCGGUAGCAUCAGGAAGGGUUUCUUGAAGAGGGAAGUUCAUUCACUCAGCAGAAAUUUAUUGGACACCCACUAUGUCCCAGGCACACAGGCAUUUAGGAGGGACCCAAAAGGGUGAAUCGAAUUUUGACUGGGUUGGAGGAACUACAGAGGGGUGGUGAAAAGGAGGAUGGGGUUGGAGGAAUUACAGAGCGGUGGUGAAGAGGAGGAUGGGGUUGGAGGAACUACAGAGCGGUGGUGAAAAGGAGGAUGGGGUUGGAGGAAUUACAGAGCAGUGGUGAAGAGGAGGAUGGGGUUGGAGGAACUACAGAGCGGUGGUGAAGAGGAUAUGGGGUUGGAGGAACUACAGAGCGGUGGCGAAAAGGAGGAUGGGGUUGGAGGAAUUACAGAGCAGUGGUGAAGAGGAGGAUGGGGUUGGAGGAACUACAGAGCGGUGGUGAAGAGGAGGAUGGGGUUGGAGGAACUACAGAGUGGUGGUGAAGAGGAUAUGGGGUUGGAGGAACUACAGAGCGGUGGUGAAAAGGAGGAUGGGGUUGGAGGAAUUACAGAGCAGUGGUGAAGAGGAGGAUGGGGUUGGAGGAACUACAGAGUGGUGGUGAAGAGGAUAUGGGGUUGGAGGAACUACAGAGCGGUGGCGAAAAGGAGGAUGGGGUUGGAGGAAUUACAGAGCGGUGGUGAAGAGGAGGAUGGGGUUGGAGGAACUACAGAGCAGUGGUGAAGAGGAGGAUGGGGUUGGAGGAACUACAGAGCGGUGGUGAAGAGGAUGGGGUUGGAGGAACUACAGAGCGGUGGUAAAAAUGAGGAUGGGGUUGGAGGAACUACAGAGCGGUGGUGAAGAGGAGGAUGGGGUUGGAGGAACUACAGAGCGGUGGUGAAGAGGAGGAUGGGGUUGGAGGAACUACAGAGCGGUGGUGAAGAGGAUGGGGUUGGAGGAACUACAGAGCGGUGGUAAAAAUGAGGACGGGGUUGGAGGAACUACAGAGCGGUGGUGAAGAGGAGGACGGGGUUGGAGGAACUACAGAGCGGUGGUGAAGAGGAGGAUGGGGUUGGAGGAACUACAGAGCGGUGGUAAAAAGGAGGAUGGGGUUGGAGGAACUACAGAGCGGUGGUGAAGAGGAGGAUGGGGUUGGAGGAACUACAUAGGGGUCGUGAAAAGGAGGAUGGGGUUGGAGGAACUACAGAGCGGUGGUGAAGAGGAGGAUGGGGUUGGAGGAACUACAGAGCGGUGGUGAAAAGGAGGACGGGGUUGGAGGAACUACAGAGCGGUGGUGAAGAGGAGGAUGGGGUUGGAGGAACUACAGAGCGGUGGUGAAGAGGAGGACGGGGUUGGAGGAAUUACAGAGCGGUGGUGAAGAGGAGGAUGGGGUUGGAGGAACUACAGAGCGGUGGUGAAGAGGAGGACGGGGUUGGAGGAAUUACAGAGCGGUGGUGAAAAGGAGGACGGGGUUGGAGGAACUACAGAGCGGUGGUAAAAAUGAGG
rnacentral:lncRNA from 1 species